rnacentral:lncRNA from 1 species
GGCAAUUCUUCAACAAAAAAAAUUCAAAAACAGACUCCAAUGUGAAACUGCAGAACUGGAAUUAAUUUGCAAACUGGACACCAUCAGAUUAGGCCUGAAUAAAGACUGGGAGUGGUUGGGUCAUUACAAAACCUAAACCUAAUUUCUUCCUACUGUUGUUCACACCUUCUUGCCAACUGUCUGAAAUGGGCCAUUCUCAUUACUACUUCAAAAGUUAUUUUUCCUUGUUUGGUAUCCUACUGUUAAAUUAAUUGUCUCGUUAGACUGACCUCAGACUUGAUAAAGCAACUCCCAUCCUUUCAUGUAUUUAUACCAGCUCCUGGUAUAUUUUCCUCUCUAUUUUCCACUCCAUGCAUCUGAUGAAGUGGGUUCUAGCCAAUGAAAGCUUAUGCCCAAAUAAAUUUGUUAGUCUCUAAGGUGCCACAAGGACUCCUCAUUUUUGUUGAGUCAUAGAAGUGAUUUUAAAAAAACCAAACCCUUUUAGGGUACUCCUGUCAAAGUUGAACAUACANUUGAGUCAUAGAAGUGAUUUAAAAAAAACCAAACCCUUUUAGGGUACUCCUGUCAAAGUUGAACAUACACUAUUUCUAGCACAGUGAACAUAGAUAGCUUGGAAUAUUAUAGCAGUUAAGAAAUUGAAUUAUUGAUUUUGUUUAGAUGUAUUGCUGCUGCAGUGUUUGGCUCUCAAAUCACAAUACUAGGAAACAUCUGAUCUUCAAACUUGCAAGGUUUUUUUUUUUAAAUGAUUUUGGGAGCCUUUAAUCCUCAAUUUGUACCUUUCUUCCGAAGUGACAUUAAUGCAAUAUUCUAAUCUAGUCACUUAGGUUUUAUUCUUUCCAAUUACAUAUUUAAUAAACUAGUUUUUAUUGUAUUUUAGAUAUGAACAAAAUAGGAAGCUGUCACCUUGAUAGAGAAAUCUGAGUACGAAUCGGACGCGUCUGAUCCAAUCUGCAUACAGAGGAAAACAGAUAGUUUUCAAAGUUGCUGGAGCCCAGCUGUCACUACAACUUUCGAGAGACCUGGAUUGUUUUCUCUUCUUCCCUUUCUUCACCCAAAUAAAAGUAAAUACAGAAGUGAGUCUCCUUAUUUACCUGAUCUGGUCCCGGUUUGAGGGAGAAGAGAUGCUGCCCAUGGGAAAGGGUGAUGCUGCACAAUGGAAGAAUUCAGAAUGGACAGGAAGUCCUCAGACUUUUGGGUGGGGGGAGAGAGGAAGAGAGGAGUAAAGACUUCAGCU